UGGGGAAUAUUGCACAAUGGGCSAAAGCCUGAUGCAGCGACGCCGCGUGAGGGAUGACGGCCUUCGGGUUGUAAACCUCUUUCAGCAGGGAAGAAGCGAAAGUGACGGUACCUGCAGAAGAAGCGCCGGCUAACUACGUGCCAGCAGCCGCGGUAAUACGUAGGGCGCGAGCGUUAUCCGGAAUUAUUGGGCGUAAAGAGCUCGUAGGCGGUUUGUCGCGUCUGCUGUGAAAGCCCGGGGCUCAACCCCGGGUCUGCAGUGGGUACGGGCAGACUAGAGUGCAGUAGGGGAGACUGGAAUUCCUGGUGUAGCGGUGAAAUGCGCAGAUAUCAGGAGGAACACCGAUGGCGAAGGCAGGUCUCUGGGCUGUAACUGACGCUGAGGAGCGAAAGCAUGGGGAGCGAACAGGAUUAGAUACCCUGGUAGUCCAUGCCGUAAACGAUGCGAACUGGAUGUUGGGUGCAAUUUGGCACGCAGUAUCGAAGCUAACGCGUUAAGUUCGCCGCCUGGGGAGUACGGUCGCAAGACUG
rnacentral:rRNA from 1 species